rnacentral:rRNA from 1 species
UGGAGAGUUUGAUCCUGGCUCAGAUUGAACGCUGGCGGCAGGCCUAACACAUGCAAGUCGAGCGGAUGAAGGGAGCUUGCUCCCUGAUUUAGCGGCGGACGGGUGAGUAAUGCCUAGGAAUCUGCCUGGUAGUGGGGGAUAACGUYCSGAAASGRRCGCUAAUACCGCAUACGUCCUACGGGAGAAAGCAGGGGACCUUCGGGCCUUGCGCUAUCAGAUGAGCCUAGGUCGGAUUAGCUAGUUGGUGAGGUAAUGGCUCACCAAGGCGACGAUCCGUAACUGGUCUGAGAGGAUGAUCAGUCACACUGGAACUGAGACACGGUCCAGACUCCUACGGGAGGCAGCAGUGGGGAAUAUUGGACAAUGGGCGAAAGCCUGAUCCAGCCAUGCCGCGUGUGUGARGAAGGUCUUCGGAUUGUAAAGCACUUUAAGUUGGGAGGAAGGGCAGUAAGCUAAUACCUUGCUGUUUUGACGUUACCGACAGAAUAAGCACCGGCUAACUUCGUGCCAGCAGCCGCGGUA